GAUGAACGCUGGCGGCGUGCCUAAUACAUGCAAGUCGAGCGAACAGACGAGGAGCUUGCUCCUCUGACGUUAGCGGCGGACGGGUGAGUAACACGUGGAUAACCUACCUAUAAGACUGGGAUAACUUCGGGAAACCGGAGCUAAUACCGGAUAAUAUAUUGAACCGCAUGGUUCAAUAGUGAAAGACGGUUUUGCUGUCACUUAUAGAUGGAUCCGCGCCGCAUUAGCUAGUUGGUAAGGUAACGGCUUACCAAGGCAACGAUGCGUAGCCGACCUGAGAGGGUGAUCGGCCACACGGGAACUGGGACACGGUCCAGACUCCUACGGGAGGCAGCAGUAGGGAAUCUUCCGCAAUGGGCGAAAGCCUGACGGAGCAACGCCGCGUGAGUGAUGAAGGUCUUCGGAUCGUAAAACUCUGUUAUUAGGGAAGAACAAAUGUGUAAGUAACUAUGCACGUCUUGACGGUACCUAAUCAGAAAGCCACGGCUAACUACGU
rnacentral:rRNA from 1 species